UCCUGGUUAGCUCAGUUGUUAGAGCGCUCCACUGGAAGUGGAGAGGUCCAUGGUUUUAUACCGUGACCAGGCG
rnacentral:tRNA from 2 species